rnacentral:tRNA from 1 species
GGCGCGUUCGUCUAGCGGCUAGGACGUGGCCCUCUCAAGGCCAAAACACGGGUUCGAUUCCCGUACGCGCUACCA